ensembl:lncRNA
CCAUAACCCCCUGGCUCCCCCCACACAGCCACCCCCCCACUAUCAGCAUCCCCCUGCACAGUGUACACUUGUUAGUCUGACACAUCAUUGUCACCCGAAUUCCAUAGUUUCAUUAGUGUUCACUUUGUGCUGUACAUUCUGUCAGUUUGGACAAACGUAUGACGUGUAUGCGUCAUUAUAGUGUCAUACAGAAAAGUUUCACAGCCCUGAAGGUCCUCUGAGCGCUGCCUGUUCACCCCUCCCUCCCCUUAACCCCUGACAACCACUGACGUUUUCACUCUCUCCAUAGUUUUGCCUUUUCUAGAAUGUCACAUAGUUGGACACAUACAGUCUGUAGCCCUUCAAACUGGCUUCCUUCGCAUGAUACCAAUAGGCGUUUACUGUUCCUCCAUGUCUUUUCAUGGCUGAGAGCUCAUUUCGUUUCAGUGCUGAGUGAUAGUCCAUUUCUGGAUGUACCUGUGUUUCUCCACUCACCUACUGAAGGACGUGUGGUUGCUUCCAAGUUUUGCCAAUUCUGAAUAUGCCACUGUAAUCAUGCAUGUGCAGGUUUUCUUGUGGACAUAGUUUCAACUCCUUUGGCUCAGUACCAAGCCGCGGGAUUCCUGGAUCACAGGGUCAGAGUGUUUUGUAAGGAACCGCCAGCUACCUCCCGAGGUGGCUGCCCCGCUUUGAAUUCCCACCAGCCCCGCACGAGAGUUCCUGUUGCUGCACAUGGUCGCCUGCAGCUGAUGUCACUGUUCUGGAUUUGGGACGUUUUAAUUACGUGUAUAGUGGUGAUGUACUCUUUACAAUAAUUUAUAAGUUGUGGAUUAAAAAACCAAAAUUCACCAUCUUCACCAGUCAGUGUACAGCUCAGGGGAGCUAAUGUCGUCACAGUGUUGGGCAGCGGACCUCCACGAUUUUCCAUCUGGCAAAGCAGAAGCCCUGGACCCAUAAACAGCCCGGAGGCGGGCCCAGCCCCGCUACCCCUCCCGCCCUGGGGAUCCUGGGCGGGGCCUCCUGCGCCCCCCAGCGGCCGCCUGCAGAAGAGCGGACAGCCGCGCUACGGGGACCUCAACUCGCGCCGGGCCAGUCCGCACCCCGAGUCAGAUUCAACCGAGCCACGGCCACGACAAGGCCGAAACGCGGGGCGCUGGGCCAGCAGCCAGGCUGGGUCCUCAGCAUCACUGCCAGCAGCCUGGAGGCGAGGGUGGGGGUCACAGCCAGGUAACCACGGGCCCACUGAGAACUAGGACACUUGGUGCUGGGUGUGCAUGUGUUGUGUGGGUGUGUAAAUGUGUGCGUGUGAGUGUGUGUCAAUAUGUAAGAAGAACAUGGGAAGUGUCUGUGAUGUGUGAGUACUUUGUGUGUUGAGUGCACUAGUGUGAAGUGAGGGGACACCCAGACUUCAUGCCCGCCACCCCGUUGUCCUCUGAUCACUGUGCCCUCCCUAUAAUGCCACGCAAGGGCCAGUGACAAGCCUGGGAGGUGAAGGACACUCAGGAGGAGGCAGGUGACGUGGGAAGGCAGGGACGUGUUCUGAGGACAAGGCUCUGACCACACUGAGUGAGCCUAAUGUGAGUGGGUGGCAGGAUCAAGUCCAAAGACCCCUCGUUCUUCCUCGGAGCCUGUACAGAGCUGGGGAGUCAGGUGGGGGUGGACUUCUUGUCUCCACAUCCCUACCCUAGGACAGCACCUGGUGAGGACAGGAUUGACAGGACUUCUGUGGCCACCCCUGGAACGACCUUCCCUGGGCCCUCCCUAUGACCUCUGACAGCAUGUCACCCUGACAGAUUGGCUCAGCGCAGAGGGGAAAGGCCAGUCUCAGCUCCCUUUGUAAACAAGGCCCAGGCUGGUCAAGCUCGC